rnacentral:rRNA from 1 species
UUAAGCUAAUAAGAGCGCAGGGAGGAUGCCUUGGCAUCAGGAGCCGAAGAAGGACGUGGUAAGCUGCGAAAAGCUACGGGGAUUGGCAAGCACGAUAUGAUCCGUAGAUGUCCGAAUGGAGCAAUCCACAUGGAGUCAAGUCCAUGUAUCAUAUACUGAAUAAAUAGGUAUAUGAGGGGAACCGCCCGAACUGAAACAUCUAAGUAGGGCGAGGAAAAGAAAUCAACCGAGAUUCUGUGAGUAGUGGCGAGCGAAAGCGGAAGAGGCUAAACCGAGAGGAGCAAUCCUUUCGGGGUUUAGGACUGCAUUUAGUACAAUGAUUGUUAACCGAACAGCAUGGGAAGGCUGAUCAAAGAAGGUGAGAAUCCUGUAGGUGAAAACGAAAGUUGACGAGCAGUAUCCGAAGUACCGCGGGGCACGUGAAAUCCCGUGGGAAGAUGGGGGGACCAUCCUCCAAGCCUAAAUACUACCUGAUGACCGAUAGCGAAUAGUACUGUGAAGGAAAGGUGAAAAGCACCCCGGGAGGGGAGUGAAAGAGAACCUGAAACCCUGUGCUUACAAGCACUUAGAGCACGUCAAAGUGUGAUAAGGUACCUAUUGUAGAAUGGUCCGGCGAGUUAUUGUAUGCAGCAAGGUUAAGUAGUUCAGCUACGGAGCCGAAGUGAGAGCGAGUGUUAACAGCACGUUCAGUUGCAUGCAAUAGACCCGAAACCGGGUGACCUAUCCAUGUCCAGGAUGAAGUGAGGGUAAAACCUCAUGGAGGUCCGAACCCACUCCCGUUGAAAUGGUAGGGGAUGAGGUGUGGAUAGCGGAGAAAUUCCAAUCGAACCCGGAUAUAGCUGGUUCUCCCCGAAAUAGUUUUAGGACUAGCCUCGUGAUUAAGAUUAUCGGAGGUAAAGCACUGAAUGGCCUAGGGGUCGAGAGAUUACCGAAGCCUAUCAAACUCUGAAUGCCGAAUAAUCAUGCACGGGAGUCAGACUGUGUGAGAUAAGUUUCAUAGUCGAAAGGGAAACAGCCCAGACCUACAGCUAAGGUCCCAAAGUACGUUUAAGUGGAAAACGAUGUGAAAUUGCGUAGACAACCAGGAUGUUGGCUUAGAAGCAGCCAUACAUUAAAAGAGUGCGUAAUAGCUCACUGGUCGAGUGACUUUGCGCGGAAAAUUUAACGGGGCUAAAACGUACACCGAAGCUUAGGCUUGCAACUAUGUUGCAGGGGUAGGGGAGCGUUGAAUGAGGGGUGAAGUCGUAGCGAAAGCGACGGUGGACUUCAUUCAAGUGAGAAUGCCGGAAUGAGUAGCGAGAAUUAUGUGAGAAUCAUAAUGGCCGAAAGCCUAAGGUUUUUGGAGGAAGGUUCGUCCGCUCCAAGUAAGUCGGAAGCUAAGGUGAGGCUGAAAAGCGUAGCCGAUGCACAAACGGUUGAAAUUCCGUUACCACAGAAAGAUUUAAACUAAGGGACACUUUUGAAGAGCUGAUGCCGGGUGUUGGUUACCCCGGUCGUAAGGGAACGAAAUUAAGUAGUGAAGUCAGCGUGGAUGAAGGCGAGAAAAGCUUAGUGUAUAUCUUAUGUGUCCGUACCGCAAACCGACACAGGUAGGUAGGAAGAGAAUUCUAAGGCCAACGGGAGAAGGGUAGUUAAGGAACUCGGCAAAAUGUCCCCGUAACUUCGGAAUAAGGGGAGGUUUCUACGGAAACCCGCAGAGAAUAGUCCCAGGCAACUGUUUAUCAAAAACACAGCUCUAUGCUAAAUCGAAAGAUGACGUAUAUGGGGUGACGCCUGCCCGGUGCCGGAAGGUUAAGAGGAGGAGUGAGAGCCCUGAAUCGAAGCCCCGGUAAACGGCGGCCGUAACUAUAACGGUCCUAAGGUAGCGAAAUUCCUUGUCAGGUAAGUUCUGACCCGCACGAAUGGCGUAAUGAUCUGGGAGCUGUCUCAACUGCCCGCCCGGCGAAAUUGUAGUACCGGUGAAGAUGCCGGUUACCCGCGACUAGACGGAAAGACCCCAUGGAGCUUUACUGUAGCUUAAUAUUGGAUUUCGGCAUUUCAUGUACAGGAUAGGUGGGAGACUAGGAAACAUAGGCGUCAGCUUAUGCGGAGUCGUCCUUGGGAUACCACUCUUGGAGUGCUGAAAUUCUAACCUGCAGCCCUGAAUCGGGUUGGGGGACAUUGUUAGGUGGGCAGUUUGACUGGGGCGGUCGC